rnacentral:rRNA from 1 species
CCUGUCAACUGCAGAACAAGGUUAUGUUUGUUAACAGCAAGCGUAAUUGAUGGUAUGCGGAGAGGAAGGGACGGCUAACUCUGUGC